rnacentral:rRNA from 1 species
GACGAACGCUGGCGGCGUGCUUAACACAUGCAAGUCGAACGGAAAGGCCCGGCUUUUGUGGGGUGCUCGAGUGGCGAACGGGUGAGUAACACGUGAGUAACCUGCCCUUGACUUUGGGAUAACUUCAGGAAACUGGGGCUAAUACCGGAUAGGAGCUCCUGCUGCAUGGUGGGGGUUGGAAAGUUUCGGCGGUUGGGGAUGGACUCGCGGCUUAUCAGCUUGUUGGUGGGGUAGUGGCUUACCAAGGCUUUGACGGGUAGCCGGCCUGAGAGGGUGACCGGCGACCUUGGGACUGCGAUACGCACCAGACUCCUACCGUACGCAACGGUGGAGAAUAUUGCACAAUGGGCGGAAGUCUGAUGUAGCAAUGCCGGGUGCGGGAUGACGGGCUUCGGGUUGUGAACCGAUUUCGACUGUGCCGAGGCGUGCGUGACGGUACUGGGUAAAGAAGCACCGGCUAACUACGUG